rnacentral:rRNA from 1 species
GUGGGGAAUUUUGGACAAUGGGCGCAAGCCUGAUCCAGCAAUGCCGCGUGCAGGAAGAAGGCCUUCGGGUUGUAAACUGCUUUUGUACGGAACGAAACGGUCCGGGUUAAUACCCUGGGCUAAUGACGGUACCGUAAGAAUAAGCACCGGCUAACUACGUGCCAGCAGCCGCGGUAAUACGUAGGGUGCAAGCGUUAAUCGGAAUUACUGGGCGUAAAGCGUGCGCAGGCGGUUUUGUAAGACAGGCGUGAAAUCCCCGGGCUCAACCUGGGAGUUGCGCUUGUGACUGCAAGGCUGGAGUGCGGCAGAGGGGGAUGGAAUUCCGCGUGUAGCAGUGAAAUGCGUAGAUAUGCAGAGGAACACCGAUGGCGAAGGCAAUCCCCUGGGCCUGCACUGACGCUCAUGCACGAAAGCGUGGGGAGCAAACAGGAUUAGAAACCCUUGUAGUCC